GUCAUGGGACUUCUUAGCAAGAGAAACAUUUUGUCUGUCUUUUGUUGCCUUUGUUUAAACUUAGGCGUUGCCAUAGACACCAUUAUAUCUCCCCAAUCCAUCAAAGACCCAGACUACAUAAUCUCCAAUGGGAGUGCUUUCAAACUUGGAUUCUUUAGCCCAGUAAAUUCCACCAAUCGCUACCUUGGAAUAUGGUAUAAUAGAAUUUCUGUUUUCACUGUAGUAUGGGUAGCUAACAGACAGAAACCCCUGAAGGAUUCUUCUGGGGUUCUUACCAUAUCCAAGGACGGCAAUCUUGUAGUCUUAGAUGGACAAAAGGAGAUUCUUUGGUCAUCAAAUGUUACAAACUCUGUUGCCAAUUCAAAUUUCCACCUUUUGGAUUCAGGGAACCUUGUCUUGCGAGAAAAUACUAGUGGGAAAAUCAUAUGGGAGAGUUUCCAUCAUCCAACUGAUACAUUCUUGCCAGGAAUGAAACUUAGUGUUAAUUUAAGGACAAAUCAGAAAGUACUGUAUACAUCAUGGAAAAGCCCUUCUGAUCCAUCCAUUGGAAGCUUCUCUACAGGUAUGGCUUCAGUAAACACUCCCGAAGCUUUCAUUUGGAAAGAUGGUCGUCCAUAUUGGCGGACUGGUCCAUGGAAUGGUCAGAUCUUUAUUGGUGAACCUGACUGGAAUGCAGAAUAUCAUAAUGGAUUUAAUCUAGUAGAUGACAAAGAAGGUACCGUUUAUGCAACUUUUGAUUAUGCAAAUGUGUUGCCUCUAUCAAAAUUUGUGUUGAAUUCACAAGGAAAUCUAGUGCAGACAUAUUGGGAUGAUAGCAAGGAGGAUUGGAAGGUUGUGGGGUUAGCUCCAAAAGAUGAGUGUGAUGUUUAUGGCACUUGUGGUGCAUUUGGAAGCUGUGAUUCGCAGAGGAUACCAAUCUGUAGCUGUAUUAGAGGGUUUGAGCCAAAGAUUAUUGAGGAAUGGAACAGAGGAAAUUGGACAAGUGGGUGUAUUAGGAGAGCACCAUUGCAGUGUCAAAGGGUGAAUAAUAGUGGUGAAGAAGGCAGAGCAGAUGGGUUCUUGAAACUGAAGAUGAUCAAAGUGCCAUACUUUAUGGAGAGGUCAUAUGGGUCUAUAGACGGUUGUCGAAAGCAGUGCUUGAAGAACAAUGAUUGUGUGGCGUAUGCACAUGAUGUUGGAAUUGGUUGUAUGUCAUGGAGUAGAAACCUUAUUGACCUCAGGAAAUUGUCCAUUCGUGGAUCGGAUAUAUAUAUUCGUCUUGCCUACUCAGAAUUUGAAUUUGCAUCAGAAAGGAAAAAUAAAAGCAGGGAGAGCUUAUUGUUUGACUACCUGGAUGAUGUUAAACUCCACGACCUACCCAUUUUCAGUUUGGAAGAAGUGGCAACUGCAACAAACAACUUUCAUGUAGCUAAUAUGCUUGGGCGAGGUGGGUUUGGUCCAGUCUAUAAGGGCAAAUUACAAGAUGGACAAGAAAUAGCAGUGAAAAGACUAUCUAAAUCAUCUGGACAAGGGCUUGAAGAAUUUAUGAAUGAGGUGAUGGUGAUUUCUAAACUCCAACAUCGAAAUCUUGUUAGACUUCUUGGCUGCUACUCUGAGGGAGAAGAAAAGAUGUUGAUCUACGAAUACAUGCCAAACAAAAGUUUGGACACAUUUGUUUUUGAUCCACUCAAUCAAAAACUCCUCAAUUGGACAAAACGCUUCAAUAUUAUUAAAGGAAUUGGUCGAGGUCUACUCUGCCUUCAUAGGGAUUCUAGAAUGAAGAUUAUUCAUAGAGAUCUAAAGGCAAGUAAUAUCUUGUUAGAUGAAGAGCUAAAUCCCAAAAUAUCGGACUUCGGAAUUGCUAGAAUUUUCAGAGAACGUGAAAAUCAUGGUUAAUACUAAAAGGGUUGUUGGUACAUAG